rnacentral:rRNA from 1 species
GACGAACGCUGGCGGCGUGCUUAACACAUGCAAGUCGAACGGAAAGGCCCUGCUUUUGUGGGGUGCUCGAGUGGCGAACGGGUGAGUAACACGUGAGUAACCUGCCCUUGACUUUGGGAUAACUUCAGGAAACUGGGGCUAAUACCGGAUAGGAGCUCCUGCUGCAUGGUGGGGGUUGGAAAGUUUCGGCGGUUGGGGAUGGACUCGCGGCUUAUCAGCUUGUUGGUGGGGUAGUGGCUUACCAAGGCUUUGACGGGUAGCCGGCCUGAGAGGGUGACCGGGCACAUUGGGACUGAGGUACGGCCCAGACUCCUACGGGAGGCAGCAGUGGGGAAUAUUGCACAAUGGGCGGAAGCCUGAUGCAGCAACGCCGCGUGCGGGAUGACGGCCUUCGGGUUGUAAACCGCUUUCGCCUGUGACGAAGCGGGAGUGACGGUAAUGGGUAAAGAAGCACCGGCUAACUACGUG